AGUGAACGCUGGCGGUAGGCCUAACACAUGCAAGUCGAACGGCAGCACAGAGGAGCUUGCUCCUUGGGUGGCGAGUGGCGGACGGGUGAGGUAUACAUCGGAAUCUACUCUGUCGUGGGGGAUAACGUAGGGAAACUUACGCUAAUACCGCAUACGACCUACGGGUGAAAGCAGGGGAUCUUCGGACCUUGCGCGAUUGAAUGAGCCGAUGUCGGAUUAGCUAGUUGGCGGGGUAAAGGCCCACCAAGGCGACGAUCCGUAGCUGGUCUGAGAGGAGGAUCAGACACACUGGAACUGAGACACGGUCCAGACUCCUACGGGAGGCAGCAGUGGGGAAUAUUGGACAAUGGGCGCAAGCCUGAUCCAGCCAUACCGCGUGGGUGAAGAAGGCCUUCGGGUUGUAAAGCCCUUUUGUUGGGAAAGAAAUCCAUCUGGUUAAUACCCGGGUGGGAUGACGGUACCCAAAGAAUAAGCACCGGCUAACUUCGUGCCAGCCGCCGCAGUAA
rnacentral:rRNA from 1 species